rnacentral:lncRNA from 1 species
AUCAGUGUUUGUGCAAGUCCUGCUCAGGCAAUGCUCGUCUUGCUCAAAAACGCAUUUGUUUUUGUUACAUGUGAUUUUUCUAUUUCUCUAGCCCAAAGUGCAUUACAGAAGAUACACCUAUAGAACCAUCACCUUCUGCUCAAUGUGCCAGGCCUCAUCUACUCCUGUACGUUCAGUGACUUUCUUUAGAUGCAAAUGUCAAUUACAACGGAGAGGGGAAAUACUGUCAUUACCCAAGCCUCAGAAAAACACGCGAGAACAAUAACACAGCCACCUGAUGGAAGGAUUGUUGUGGUUUUCGAUUAAGGUGUAUGUUAGUUUCAUCAGAAACUGAAAACAUUAGACUGAU